rnacentral:rRNA from 1 species
GUGAGGAAUAUUGGUCAAUGGGCGAGAGCCUGAACCAGCCAAAUCGCGUGAAGGAUGAAGGUUUUAUGAAUUGUAAACUUCUUUUGCAGGGGAAUAAAGUACGGUACGUGUACCGUUUUGUAUGUACUCUGCGAAUAAGGAUCGGCUAACUCCGUGCCAGCAGCCGCGGUAAUACGGAGGAUCCAAGCGUUAUCCGGAUUUAUUGGGUUUAAAGGGUGCGCAGGCGGGUUGAUAAGUCAGCGGUGAAAGUUUGCAGCUUAACUGUAAAAUUGCCGUUGAAACUGUCGAUCUUGAGUGCAAAUGAGGUAAGCUGAAUGUGUUGUGUAGCGGUGAAAUGCUUAGAUAUAACACAGAACACCGAUUGCGAAGGCAGCUUACUGGGAUGCAACUGACGCUCAUGCACGAAAGCGUGGGGAUCAAACAUGAUUAGAUACCCUGGUAGC